rnacentral:misc_RNA from 1 species
GUAGGUGAACCUGCGGAAGGAUCAUUCUUGUAUCAAACCCACUUUCCAGUGGCAAACUAUGUGAACUGUACAUCUCACUUGUGUGUAUCGGCUGGCAAUGCUGAUGCAGCGCGACGAGUGGUGCCGACUUGGAGAAAGGCGGUACAUCUCUACUCUUUUGGGGGAAGUGUAUGCGCGUCGUCUCUUUUGGCUGCCGCCGUUAGGCUGCAUUUGCCUGUCCGAUGCUCACGUUACCACGUACCCAACCAAACAUUCAAACUUACAAUUAUUAUAAAUCAAUACAACUUUUAGCAACGGAUCUCUAGGCUCUC